ACCAGUUUCACUUUGUAGAUCACUUUUUGUUCUGUUAUAUUCUUUCCCUUGUCUAGUUUUGACCCCUCGUGGUCUGUUUUGUUUGUAAUGUUCCCAGUAUUUUCAGUUCUGUAAUAAACCCCCUUUGUGUCUGAGCCGCUAAUGGAUCACCACCUAUUUUUUUCUUGCCUGAACCAUGUCUCGCUCCCGUGACACUUUUUGUUUUACAGAAACGAGAGAAAUCGCACUAAUCAGAUUGGAAGAGAUUAUGGACAUUUAUCCCCUGCCAGACUACCUGAUAUGCAUCGCAGCUUUUCCUCAUAUCAUAGUUGUACUUUGAGAGGGCAAAAGCCAUGAGAAAUGCCAAGAGAUGGUGAAAGACGUGCCAGUGUUUGAAGAAUUCCAGAAUAGAUGGUCAGCACUUUUUAAGCAGACUGAAGACAUGAAUGUCAAACGAACUGUGUACAGCAGAGCCCGAGUGUGUACCUUGAUGAAGACAGCAGUAUCCUCAGUACCGACUACUUGGUGGGUAUAAAAUCUUUCCUCAAUAAAACUUACUGUCUUCAUCUUUUACUAGCAUACGGUUAACGUUUAUGGAUAGUGCUACUCUUAUGGGUGGUGUAGUGGUCUCUUAUGGGUGGUGUAGUGGUUAGCACGCAUGCCACUCAGUGCUGGUGUUCCACCUGGCUUUCCCCUGUGCUUUCCAAUGCCCAAAGACAUGGAUAUUAGUUGGAGAUGCAAAACUGGGAUAAAGUGGUACUCAGAUUACCAAUAACUAUCUUAUAAACGUUACUUACUGUAUUGAUCCAGUUCAUAAUCUGUUACCUUUGAAAUAAAUCUCCCAGACAACCAUGUGUUAAGAAAAGCCUUGAAUAUUACUGACACAAGUCAUAGGCCUGCUUGCUGCACCUCUUCCUCUUACUGGGUUCCCCAGGUAACUUUACCAGCAUUAGUGACUUAAUCAUGGUAAAAUGUGUAUUUUCCUAAGGACGUUGAUGACUUUGACGUUUGUUCCUCUCACCUUCUGAUCUUCUACUGUUAAAGUAGUUUGCAUAUGUUGAAGAGGAACAAAUAGACCUGAAAACUUCCCACAUUGUCAAAAUAACUGGUUUUUAUCAUAUUGUGGAGGGCAUUUGGUUCCCACAAUGUAAUAUAAUCCAGACACACAUAUACACACAGGCUGAGACUCACAGAAAAAUUCUGGCAUGCAUAGUCUGACACAGACCAUUCAUUAAGAGCUUUAGAUAGGAAAUAAAAUAUGUUUGUUGUUAACUGCUGUUAAAAAUAAUAAAUACACAAAAUAUUCAUUUAGGCUAAAACAUUGUACUGUAAUCCCUUGAGUGUCUCUAGAAACAAUUUCUGUUUGCUAUCAACUACCGUUUAUAUGUUGAAGUUGGUAUUUUUGGAAAUGUAGUGUAUGUUUAAUACCUUUGUAUUAACUCUGCAUUUUUAUUAACUGUUGUAGCGUACAAUACUUGAAAUAAACAUGCACUAAAUAAAA